AGCGCGAACGUUCCUUCGGGAACAAGUAGAGCGGCGGACGGGUGAGUAACGCGUGGGAAAUUGCCCAGUAGUGGGGGACAACAUUCGGAAACGGAUGCUAAUACCGCAUACGCCCUACGGGGGAAAGCAGGGGAUCUUCGGACCUUGCGCUAUUGGAUAUGCCCGCGUCGGAUUAGCUAGUUGGUGAGGUAAUGGCUCACCAAGGCAACGAUCCGUAGCUGGUCUGAGAGGAUGAUCAGCCACACUGGGACUGAGACACGGCCCAGACUCCUACGGGAGGCAGCAGUGGGGAAUAUUGGACAAUGGGCGCAAGCCUGAUCCAGCCAUGCCGCGUGUGUGAAGAAGGCCCUAGGGUUGUAAAGCACUUUCAGUAGGGAGGAAGGCCUUAAAGUUAAUACCUUUGAGGAUUGACGUUACCUACAGAAGAAGCACCGGCUAACUCCGUGCCAGCAGCCGCGGUAAUACGGAGGGUGCGAGCGUUAAUCGGAAUUACUGGGCGUAAAGCGCGCGUAGGCGGUUAGUUAAGCUGGAUGUGAAAGCCCCGGGCUCAACCUGGGAACUGCAUUCAGAACUGGCUGGCUAGAGUACGAGAGAGGGUAGUGGAAUUUCCUGUGUAGCGGUGAAAUGCGUAGAUAUAGGAA
rnacentral:rRNA from 1 species